rnacentral:rRNA from 1 species
CAGUAGCCGCGGGAAUACGUAGGGCGCAAGCGUUAUCCGGAAUUAUUGGGCGUAAAGAGCUCGUAGGCGGUUUGUCGCGUCUGCCGUGAAAGUCCGGGGCUCAACCCCGGAUCUGCGGUGGGUACGGGCAGACUAGAGUGAUGUAGGGGAGACUGGAAUUCCUGGUGUAGCGGUGAAAUGCGCAGAUAUCAGGAGGAACACCGAUGGCGAAGGCAGGUCUCUGGGCAUUAACUGACGCUGAGGUACGAAAGCAUGGGGAGCAAACAGGAUUAGAUACCCCCGUAGUCCCUGUCUCUUAUAC